rnacentral:rRNA from 1 species
AAUAGAUACCCAGGUAGUCCACGCUGUAAACGAUGAGUACUAAAGGUUGGUAGGGGAACCUAUCAGUCUUGAAGCUAACGCGAUAAGUACUCCGCCUGGGAAGUACGGCCGCAAGGUUGAAACUCAAAUGAAUUGACGGGGGCCCGCACAAGCGGUGGAGCAUGUGGUUUAAUUCGAUGCAACGCGAAGAACCUUACCUACCCUUGACAUCCUGCGAACCCUGGUGAGAGCUAGGGGUGCCGAAAGGAGCGCAGAGACAGGUGCUGCAUGGCUGUCGUCAGCUCGUGUUGUGAGAUGUUGGGUUAAGUCCCGUAACGAGCGCAACCCUUGUCCUUAGUUGCCAGCAAGUAAAGUUGGGGACUCUAAGGAGACUGCCGGUGAGGAACCGGAGGAAGGCGGGGACGACGUCAAGGUCAUCAUGGCCUUUAUGGGUAGGGCUACACACGUGCUACAAUGGGGCGUACAGAGGGGUAGCGAACCUGGCGAAAGGGGGAGCCAAUCUCAGGAAAGCGUCUCGUAGUCCGGAUUGGAGUCUGCAACUCGACUCC